CCUGCCCUCCUCCCCCGCUCCCCCGCCGCCGUGCCCCUUCCCUCCCCCGGCCCCGGCCCCCCCAUCCCUCUCCCUCUGCCCCUUCUCCCCCCGCCCGUUCCUUUCUCUUCGCUUCUCUUCUCUUCCCCUGCUGCCCUUUUCCCUUUCCCCUGCUCUUUUCGCCUUGCCCCGCUCCCCCUUCCAUUGCCCUGCUCCCCCCUUCCCCUGCCCCGGGCCUGCACCCUGCCCCUACUCCCCUCUUUCUCCCCUUGCCUCCCCCCUUCCCUAGGCCAUCUUCUUUCUCUCUUUCUUUCCUUCUUCCUUCCUUCCUUCCUUUCUUUCAUUCUUUCUUUCAUUCUUUCAUUCUUUCUUUCUCACUGUCUCUUUUUCUCUCUUAUUUAUUUCUUUUUAUUUAUUUCUUUUUAUUCCAUUCUUUUUAUCCAGUUCUUUUUAUUCAAUUCUUUUUAUUCAAUUCUUUUUAUUUAUUUCUUUUUAUUUCUUCUUAUUUCUUUCUAUUUCUUUUUCUUUCUUUUCUUUCUUUUCCUUGCCCCCUCCCCCUGCUCGGGCCCCCUCCCUCCCCCAGUCCCCUCCCCCUCCUCCCGCAGACGCUAUGGCGGAGCGGAGCGCGGGGCCCGCAACCGGGCCCGCCCCGGGCCCGCCGAGCAGCGGCCGCCGGAGCCCGCAGGGUGGAGUCUACCUUGCAGAAGGCUACCGAGAUCUCUGAGGAAUCAGUUAUAAUUCAGAUGCCGUGUGUUUUCUUUCUCCGAUUCAGACUCUCCAGUAAGUGUUGAACAGAACCAAAGAGGAUUUCAGAGCAGUGGUGUUACAUCAGUUUACACCAAGCAAGAGCGGGAGUACACCGACCGUGCUCAGGAAGGACUAGCAAGGCCGGCCGGCCUGGAGGGAUGAAGAAGAGAGACAUUCACAGGGAGCUGCCUGUGGCAGUGCUGAAAUGAUUCCAUUAUGCAAUUUAAAAAUGGAAAAAAAACAAAGGUAAUUUUUAGCGUUUUUUUUCCAUCACUGACUUUUCUGAGCAGUUGUAGAUUUGAUUAUAUCAAUGACUGUGAUAAGACAGGGGCUUGUUUUCCAUUCAGAAUGGAAAGAAAUGUCAUCAAAAAUGUGUUUUUCUAAUUUUGCUUGUAUAAAAUGUAAUUGUACACUCCUUGGAACAAUUAUGUUCAUUGGGGUCCUGCAGACAUUUCAUCUCUUCAAGGCUCCAGCGUUUCUGCUUCGUAAGUAUUUGUCUAGCUGAUCUUGUAUCAGUAUGUUCACCACUCAGAUUUUUUUUUCCUUUCUUUCCAUUAAAGGCGAGGGUGAGAAGGACCUACGGGGUCAAAAAGAUAUCGAUAUACAGAAAUACGAAUGACCUUCAGCAAUGCUGUAGUCACAGUGAUGCCGCAAGACCACGGCAUGCAAAUCUGGUGGGAUUUGCUGCAUUGCUUUUUUUUUUUUCUGAAUGUCCAAACUUCAGAUUAGCAUUAUCUCCUCAUUCACUGACUCCAUGUCUCUUAAAGUGCUUCCUUAAUGUAUUUGAGAAAAGGAUCUAAAUGUUAUCGCCUGCAAAUGGCAAGCUCAGAAUAUUCUGCAUCGUUGUUUCAAAUGCUCCUUGCCUUGGCAUUGCAGGUUAUGUCCGAACUUAUUUUGUCAGGUGUAAAAUACGUAGGCUUUAGAGUUAUAAAAUACAACAAACAAAACUUCCCCAACUGAUCUCUUAACCUCACGUAAGAGCAUGAGUUAUUUAGUGUUUGUGGAGAAUGAGAGGAAGCUUUAUCUAAUAAUCCCGUUUCUUCUGGUACUCCCCGGCCUGCUCCCUCCGCGCCAGCGCAUCCGCCUGCCUCUGCCUCUGCCUCGCGGUGACCUGUCACUCCCCGGGCAGCGGCCAAGACUGCAGCAGACUUGCUCUACCGACUUGCUCGGGUUUUUUUGGCUACUGAUUUUCCUGUUUCAGUGCAAUGUCCUCUCCCAUCAACAGCAGGAACAUCUGUAGAUGUUGCUCUUCUCUCUUCCUGCUUCCUGAAAUAGGGUCAUAUCCCGCUAUUUUAGGUGCUUCCAAUAGUUAUAAUUCCAUUGCCUGCAGUAGGCAUCACACUGGUCUGAAUUCAUAGAAAACUACAUCUGUUCCUGCAAAAGGAUUCGGAAGAGAAAUGGCAAACUGGUAAGAAAUGGCAAACUGCCUUGGGACGGUGUCGCCGAGCUUGGGGCUUGAAGAGCUGGGGAGACCGUCCCUGCCCGACCUUGGCAGAGCUUCUCCCCUUCUCCCACCCCCAGCUCUCCCCCAAGUUGUCCGCUCCCCGUUUUGCCCCUGGGAGAGCUGACGGCCUCGGUCAGCCCGGCAGCGGGGCCGGCCGCCUUGCGCAGCCUCUCCUUCGAGCGGGAUUCACUGGGAGCCUCCCCAGGCCAGACUGGGGCAGCUACCGAGCCCCAGCUGAGACCUUGCUGGUCCUUCCUGAGCUAAAAACCUGCCGGCAAAACUCCCUUGGGCAAUGCGAUCUUUACACACUGAAACCUCAGCUCUUCUGUUAGGGGCAUUUCUGCAACAGCCCCGAGCAAGCUCUGCCCCGCUUCGGGGCGGGGGUAACGUGGCCCGUCGUACAAAUGAGCACGCAGCCGCGGGCCUGAUUUUCCUUGCAACCGCGCCGGCAUUGGGGAUCGGAAUAGGCUAUUCCUGCGCAUCCCAGCCUAAGCCCGGAGUGAAUUUAAUGCCCUUGGUAAGAGCGACAGGCUGUAGAAGUGCAGUGGAAAGAGAACAAGAUCCCAGGGGUUAUCUGCUAACGUCAGCGGCACCGGCGCAAACGGGAACAGCCUCCUGCCGCACACCUUGCUCCCGGCACGCAGACGCCGUGGAGCCGCUUGCUGCCCCCCCGAAGCCCCCCCAGACCCUCGCGAGCUGGUUGCAGCAUGGGCCUGGGGUGCGCAGAUCGGUCUCAUCUUCUUUGUCUUUCGUUUUCUUCCCCUCCUCCAAAAAAGCGGUACCUACGUGCCGUAAGCUGCUUCAUCGCAGCACCUGCUUUGGGCUGAAAUUUGGCCUAAUUGCACCGUUCUUGCAGGAAGGACUCGGUCUGUGGUAGGAGCAUCCUUCAUCUCUCAGAGACGUAACGCACAGCGUGUUCCUCUGUGCGAGGCGCAAAGUAACUGAGGCUGCUGCUUCUUCUGCUGGCUUGAAGCUGCAUCAGCAGGUCUUAUUUCAAUAGCUGUUGUUGUUGCUAAUAAAACGCAUUAAUCUUUAAUCCGAUAAUAAAGCAGCAUGGCUUGCGUGGUGGAUGGCACGCUGGGCUGGGACUCGGACUCUGGGCCCUCUUUCCACCUCGGCCGCUGGUCUCCUGGGGAACCUCGGCCGCUUCACCUCCCCUCUCCGCGCUUCCCCCCGCCUAUGGAACGUGGGGAUCACGAAACGAGUGGGACUGCCUGCUUUGCGAGGCUUUGAGAUUCCCCGGCGAGGGAGAGCAGAGAAGAGGCUGGUGUCCUGAUCAGUGCGGUGGCUGGCAGCAGCGAGAACAGCCCACGUGUGAACCUCUGCUUGAGGUUGUGCCGUGGUCUCCUCCUCAUCCUCUGCACCACAGUCAGAGUUCCCACCGCGGGCAGGGAGCGCUGGACCGGCUCCCGCGCCGACGCUCCGUCCCAGCCACUAAAUGCCUUUCAAUAAGCCAAGAAUAACUCAGUGCGAUGUUAUUAAAACAGAACUUAAUGGGCCAUAACGUGCCAGCAUUUCGGAUGCCGAGCUCCCGCCGAGUUCACCGGGACAUCCGCGCGCAGAGAGCCGGCGGCUGGGACGGCCCUCGGCCUCCUCUGCCGGCCCAGCGACCUUUCCCGGGAGCCGGGCGUCUCGGGGAGCGACCGCGCGGCGCGACGUGCUGCGGCGGCGAAGUGGGGGUGAACACACAGCUCGUUACUUUAUGCACAAAAAUGUGGGUUUGGAAAAUCUAUACACAAAGUAUCGGUUUUCUAGCUGCGAGCCGGCCCGGAGAAAUCGCUGCUCGCCGUUAUUCGGCGUUGCAGGCAGCACCACGGCCUCCGGGCUGCCGGGCUCCUUCCCCUGCGCAGCCCGCCAGCAAAACGAGUUGUUUACUCUCGUGUGCUGCGUUUAUUAGAUUUUAAUGCUCUCCGCCUCGCCGCUAACCCUAGUUAUAGUAAUAUUAAAAGAAAAAUCUCACCGUGAGUUUCGUGCCUCUGAAAACUUCUGGGAGGGCAACGGACAAGUUCAUGGGACUGAGAGCUCAGUGCGUUUCCCUCACAAGCCAACCCCCCCCCCCAUUUUAAUUGUUUCAAAUAAUCGUUUGAGCAGGUCAGGAAAUGGGAGGAGGCAACGCGAAAGGCUCAGGCAAACGAGGGGCUGUAACGAAAAGCUAACGAGUCCCAUCAGUUUUGCAGCUUCUCAGGUGCUUGGUGGUGACGCAGGCUGGUCGCUCCCAGGCGAACGCCGACCCGCCGCAGGCUGCCGACGCUUCAGCAGCGUUUUCGACCCGCCGGGUGCUCCGCUCCCACCCCUGCUUUCCCUGCUGAGGACGCAGCAGAGCUCGUCACCCAGGGUGAAGAUGUUUUGGAAACAAUGCGGAAAGGGAUGGAGGCAGCUUCACCCGCAGCAGCCGCACGUGAUAAGCGUUUGUGCGCGGGGGCUUGGGGGUCUCCGCGCACCGCGCUGCAGCAGCGGAGGGAUGCUCAGGUGUGCACGCAGCCCCGUUCCCCCUGGAGCAGCGAUCGAGAGGUUUCAGAAGUGAAGGCAGUGACCUAUGUGCUUUUAACCCGGGAGCCUCCGGGUUUAGCCGGCAAACCGCUGUGCUCCCGCGGCGCUCCGGAGCCGGCCAGGCCCCGGCAAAGCCCUGCGGCCUCACAGCGCAGCCCGGGACGGCUUUUAAAGAGCUGCCUCGCUUUUGCUGCCCAGCAGAGCAGCGCGUUGCCCUCUCUGAACAGCGGGUUCGGUUUUUCAUCUGUGUUUUUAUCUUAUCCGUACUUAUCUUAUUUAUCUUAUUUAUCUUAUUUAUCUUAUCUGCCCCAGCCGCGCAGCCACGAGCUCAGCGACGUGACGGACGUCCCGGGGAGCGGUGACCCCACCGAGGCCGAGCCCUGAGCCGGCCUCCUCGGCCCGACCGCCGCGUAAGGACCCCGGCGUUCACCCCGCUUGUCCUCUGCCGGCUCGGUGCUCAUUUCCGUCUCUUCUGCAGUUAUUAGACUCUCAACACAGUUCCCUUUCCAGAGCAAUUUCCAUCGCAGCCGUUUCCACCGGCUGCAGGUCGCAUAUUUGCAGAGGAUAACAAGUAAAUGCAAAACUCUUUCGUCAAGAAACCCCACGCCUGGUCCAGAUCCUUCCGAAACCACCCGAAAAUGAGCAGAUCACAGUGGACCCGCGCUCCGCUCCUCCUUGCAGCAGCCGGGAACAAACGGCACUGAACAGGGUUUUUCUGGAGGCGAUGUGGGUUUCCCAGGUGUCCCCCAGCACUACCCCAGCGACAGCAGGGUUUUCUGUGUUGUUUUUCCCACCCACCUGAUCACAAAGCGUCACAAACUGCCUAUGUUUAGCACCACUGGAAUACGGGCUCCUUUGCAUCCAUGAUGCAAAAGCCUCUGCUGGAAAGCCGGAGCGGGGGGGUCUGAGGACGUGGCCGGACGGGGAAGAGCCCCACGCGGAAUAGGCGGCAUCUCGGCCUUUUUCCGAAUGUCUCGUCCAACACCCCCUCAUCCCAAAGCGGGGUUCGUUGUACAAACCUCGGGAGCACCAGUGCCGUCCCCGUUCGACUCGCGGCUAAUAAGGACUCCAUCAGCCUCCGAAUGACCAAGGUGACGGAGGAAGAUGAGACAUGAUCGAGGUAACCGGAGCAGGUUCAACAAAGCAAAACAGAAGGUACCUGCAGACCUGCUCCUGCCUGAACGAAGGGGAAGCCUGUGCCGAAGCCUCCUCCCUGCAGCUGCCGCAGGCCGGUGCAGCUGCGCAGAUUCUGCUCGUCGUGCAAGAGCGAAAGGCAAUAGCAUAUUCAGCCCAGGUAGUUGCAUUAAUUCAGCGCCUGUCCUGCAGCAUUGAAAAGUUCUAGCAGUGCUUGGCAUCUGUUGCUGGUACUUGGACAUAAUUUGCUUUUUUCCAGCUUAUAAUGUGACCUUGGGGAAGUCACAUCACCUUCUUGUGCAUCAGCUGUUCUGUUUGCAAGUACUCGAUCAUAUUUGUAAAACAUUUUAGGCCCAAGAGCUUUAAAAAGCUCUGUCAGCAGUGUUAAAUGGCUGGAACCUGCAGCCAGGAAAGGGAAGGCUGUGAUUUCCGAACCAGACCCCUCGUGCCGUGGGGAUCCUACUGAAUUUCCAAAUUUGUUCGUUCAAAUUCUUUGCUAUUGCAACGCAGCUUCGUUAACGACGUGACCAUCAGAUGGAAUUAGAGUUUUAAUGGACAGAGGGCCGCUCAGGGGCUCCUGCUCGUUGGUAAACCUCGCAAUUAGCCUCACGACGUCCCCUGACGCUCCAGCGAUUACAACCCGGAUAGAAAUGUGAGCUUUCGCGAUGAGCAGCCAUCUCCGGAGUGACGGAUGGAGCAUCAGCCUUGCUCUUCAGCGGAGCCCUGGUGGGAAUGGGGAACCAUUUAUUGUCUCUUUGCGAAAUGAAGUUGAAGGUAAAAAAUGUGGCAGCUUUCAAGCUGCAAGGAUGUUUCAGCAAUUCCUCCCCCCCCCCCAGCUCUUGACUCGUCUGAUGUGUUGACUUCAGGAGACAAAUGAAAAACAGUUGAAAGUAUUUGGGUACACACAAUACAUUCUGGAAAUUGAAUUAUAAGCAGAAGCACUGAGGGUUAGACACCGACGUCUCGGUCCUGCGCAGGAGACAGAAAUUUGAGCUGUUCUUUCUCGCUAAAGCAUUAUGGCACUUUUUGAAGCUUGUAAGAUUAUUUGCUUCUAUUAGUACAAUUCAUCGCCCCACUGCCGUUUUUAUGAAGGACAAAUCUGCAAGUCACAGAUGGAGGAAGACAAGAAAGAAGGAAAUUAGAAUAGCCUUAUCUCAGCCCCCCCACAUUGAACAGGGAGGCUGGAAUGGGGCUCCGGGCGCUUCCCGGGAAACGUGUUCAUCCCUGGCAACCUGGGGCGUGGCGAGAUGGUGCUUGGCGAGGGCUGAGGCUGGUGACUAUUUUCUGGAGAUGAAGAGGCCCAUUCGGGGGCCUGGCUCGGCCUCCCCUCGGACCUCCCAUGACGGCUUUCUGCAGUUAGGUGGGAAUGACGGUGGGUUUGGUGUCCGUCACCUUCCCAUCCUGCCUUCUCGCUUUGGUUUGGCUGUACCUACUCGCCAGGCAGCUGCAUUAGAGACUUCAGCCACUCUUGGGUAUCUGCUCUUCCGCUUCGCGCCUGCAGCAGAGCUGCCGGGAGCCCGCAGGAGAGCUGCGUGCGCAGAGCUGCUUCCUCGGCUGGUCGCGACUAAAGGCCCAGCCUCGUCCUCGGUGGGCAGCUAACGGCCUCCGGGCCGGUAUGGGGCCCGAUCAGCGGCCGCCUGGACAGCGAGGCAAAAUUUGCCAGAAUGCCUCAGACGGUCCGUGCACUUUAUUUAAUAUUCUGGGUGGCUUUCAGUUAAAUGUUAGUACCUCUAAAGUCUCCGAUUCUUCCUAAUUCUGUGGAAGACCCUUGAAUGUCUGUUCCAGAAUUAAUUAACUCCGCAUGACUAUAUUCAUCAUCUGGAAAAUGCGACUUUAAAAACAUUGAAUUUUAGGACUGUGGAAAAAAGGCUCAGGACACGUUUGCUACUCUUCUGUCUCUUCUGUUCCUUAUCCAGUGAGCCAAAAUCCUCUAUUUUAAUGUUAGUCUGAUCUUUCCUCCCUGCCAAGAUUCAGCUUUCAGUUCAGAGUGGAUUUGUUUGUUUAGCCAAGGUAUAAAUCCAUGCGAAAGCAGUACCAUAAAGGGAAAUGUGGCACACCUAACUACGCCACCAGAAUGAAAAGAGGUCUUAAAGCCUCGUACUGCUGUGUCUGGACGGGAUUUGGUUUGUUUAUAAAGCAGCCAGGAGGAGAUAAAACAGAGUCGGAGGCAGUCUCUCCUGUUUACGUGUCCGUACGAGUUCCACUUCUCGAAUGUAACUUUUUCUAUCUCCUUUCUUGCUUGAUCAAGCUUAAAACACAAUGUAUUUUGACUGAACCAUGAAAACUUUGAAAGAGGCGAUUAGAGACGGAGAAGGGAACAAAGCUCCUUUCUGCGGAGUUCAGAACAUGAGGGAACUUCUGACCUUGAAAUAAAGCUGCUCCAGGAUGAAAAUUUAAGUUUUGACACUAACUAAGCAGUAGCAAGGACAUUUAUACUUUAAGGCAAUUUAGAAGUGCUCAUAUAAAGUGCUUGAUGGUCUUUACAGUUUACUGUUAAAAGUCUUUCCGGUAUGAAAACCGAGCCCCCAUCUCCAGCUGAGCCUGGCCGGUUUGGCCAGCCGGGGUCCAGCCCCGA